CUCACUAGGCUCAAGACUAGAGGAGCAGUGUGGAGGUGGAUUGAUAUUGGUACACAGGAACCUUCUUUAGGAGCGUCUGUGACUGGUUAUAGGCAGCGACACCCAAUUCUCCCCCACACCAUAGGUAGCCACGCCCAAUUCUACCCCAUACCAUAGGCAACCACAACUAAUUCUACCCCACACCAUAGG